AACGGAAAGGCCCUGCUUUUGUGGGGUGCUCGAGUGGCGAACGGGUGAGUAACACGUGAGUAACCUGCCCUUGACUUUGGGAUAACUUCAGGAAACUGGGGCUAAUACCGGAUAGGAGCUCCUGCUGCAUGGUGGGGGUUGGAAAGUUUCGGCGGUUGGGGAUGGACUCGCGGCUUAUCAGCUUGUUGGUGGGGUAGUGGCUUACCAAGGCUUUGACGGGUAGCCGGCCUGAGAGGGUGACCGGCCACAUUGGGACUGAGAUACGGCCCAGACUCCUACGGGAGGCAGCAGUGGGGAAUAUUGCACAAUGGGCGGAAGCCUGGUGCAGCAACGCCGCGUGCGGGAUGACGGCCUUCGGGUUGUAAACCGCUUUCGCCUGUGACGAAGCGUGAGUGACGGUAAUGGGUAAAGAAGCACCGGCUAACUACGUGCCAGCAGCCGCGGUGAUACGUAGGGUGCGAGCGUUGUUCGGAUUUAUUGGGCGUAAAGGGCUCGUAGGUGGUUGAUCGCGUCGGAAGUGUAAUCUUGGGGCUUAACCCUGAGCGUGCUUUCGAUACGGGUUGACUUGAGGAAGGUAGGGGAGAAUGGAAUUCCUGGUGGAGCGGUGGAAUGCGCAGAUAUCAGGAGGAACGCCAGUGGCGAAGGCGGUUCUCUGGGCCUUUCCUGACGCUGAGGAGCGAAAGCGUGGGGAGCGAACAGGCUUAGAUACCCUGGU
rnacentral:rRNA from 1 species